UACAGAAUGGCUGUAAAAAUGUUAGAAGCUCUUAAGGGAUCAAAUGGCCUGCAAUGAAGACAGAAGCAAAGAGCUGAGGUACACCAAAGAAAAUGUCUCUGUAGGAGACCAGAUAAGGAAUUAUACUGGCCAGGCAUGGUAGUACAAGUAUGUGCACAGAAGUAUUUAACACAUGAAUUGUAAAUGAUAACACUUUAAUAGGAUAGACGUGCUCUCAGGAAAGCAGGCACUUGGUGUGUAUCAGAAAUCCUGAGAGUCGGAAUAAAUCAAGUCUAGGACUUUCCUAGUCAGUCUUUUUUCCCCAAAGUUACAAAGAAAAGAAAUUAGAGUGGUCAAUUUUUUUAGGACCAGGGCAUACCUUUCAAUGACUUCCCGAGUGUCCCACCCCUAACUCCUACUGAAGCAGCCCAACCUCACCAGUGUAUAAAUAGUGACACUUCCUGCCCUAACUCGAACUUUUCUUCCUCCAAAAUGGGCAAGCCUCACUUAACAAGAUAUCUCAUCUUACUCGGCUAUUUGAAGGUUUUCUCUGCAUCAUUUCCACAUGAGAUAGACAAAUCAGAUAAAGUACUUGUUCGUGAAAAUAACAACGUUGUGGAAAUUGUGCAGUGUAGGAUGUGCCACCUCCAGUUCCCUGGGGAAAAAUGCUCCAGAGGAAGAGGAAUAUGUACCGCAACAGCAGAAGAGGCCUGUAUGGUGGGAAAGAUGUACAAAAGGGAUGGUACCAUCUGGUUAAACUUCAUGGGCUGCUUAAAGAACUGUGCCAAUGUGAAAAACAUAAGGUGGGGCUCCUAUCUGGUAAACUUCAGGUGUUGCCGGGGCUAUGACAUGUGCAAUGAAACAUUUUAGACGUGCUUCAACAUCUGGGUGACGAGAUGGCUUCUCCACAAGGACUCCCUGUGGCUAGCACUACAUUUAGAAGGACUGCAAGCACAUGACUCUGCCACCUACGUGUGACAGUUCCUUCUUUCUCCACACCUGACUCAUGACUCCACUUCAUAAUGCUGAAACCCCAGAAGAGUACAGCUAUAAUAGGGCCCAUUCUGCAAUCCACAGUGUGACGGAGAAGACUCGGCAAAUCCUCUGCUCUAGGCUCCGGUGCCCGGAUGCAUGGAAGGGAGCACUGCAGUAGUGGCCAGAGAAAUCCAGUCGCAUCAUCUUGACUUGUUAUGCCCUUCACAACAUUUCCCUGAAACAGGGAAUGGAUAGUUGGUCCUAUCCAGUGACUGGGCCCAUUGAACAGCCAGUGGCGUCCCUGGACUUAGAAGCUGACUAAAUCUGGCAGGAGCUGAUGCUCCCUCGCUUUAGUUAUAUGGAAGAUGGAGGACUGAAAUCUCAAGGUCCAAAUCAGGAGCAGAAGGAGAGCGAGCACGAGCAAGGAACUCAGGACCACGAGGGGUGCACCCAAACACUGAGACAAUGGGGAUGUUCUAUCGGGAACUCACCAAGGCCAGCUGGCCUGGGUCUGAAAAAGCCUGGGUUAAAACAGGUCUCACUGAACAUAGCGGACAAUGAGGGCUACUGAGACCUCAAGAACAAUGGCAAUGGGUU